rnacentral:misc_RNA from 1 species
GAAAUGCGAUAAGUAAUGUGAAUUGCAGAAUUCAGUGAAUCAUCGAAUCUUUGAACGCACAUUGCGCCCGCCAGUAUUCUGGCGGGCAUGCCUGUUCGAGCGUCAUUUCAACCAUCAAGCCCCCGGGCUUGUGUUGGGGACCUGCGGCUGCCGCAGGCCACGAAAACCAGUGGCGGGCUCGCUGUCACACCGGGCGUAGUAGAUUUUUCGUCUCGCCCAGGGCGUGCUGCGGGUUCCGGCCGUUAAAAAGCCUCUCUUUUAACCCAAGGUUGACCUCGGAUCAGGUAGGAAGACCCGCUGAACUUAAGC